CGCCUGGGGAGUACGGCCGCAAGGCUAAAACUCAAAGAAAUUGACGGGGGCCCGCACAAGCGGCGGAGCAUGCGGAUUAAUUCGAUGCAACGCGAAGAACCUUACCUGGGCUUGACAUGUUCCCGACGGCCGUAGAGAUACGGCUUCCCUUCGGGGCGGGUUCACAGGUGGUGCAUGGUCGUCGUCAGCUCGUGUCGUGAGAUGUUGGGUUAAGUCCCGCAACGAGCGCAACCCUCGCCCCGUGUUGCCAGCGGAUUGUGCCGGGAACUCACGGGGGACCGCCGGGGUUAACUCGGAGGAAGGUGGGGAUGACGUCAGAUCAUCAUGCCCCUUACGUCCAGGGCUUCACGCAUGCUACAAUGGCCGGUACAACGGGAUGCGACGCGGCGACGCGGAGCGGAUCCCUGAAAACCGGUCUCAGUUCGGAUCGCAGUCUGCAACUCGACUGCGUGAAGGCGGAGUCGCUAGUAAUCGCGAAUCAGCAACGUCGCGGUGAAUGCGUUCCCGGGCCUUGUACACACCGCCCGUCAAGUCAUGAAAGUGGGCAGCACCCGAAGCCGGUGGCCUAACCCCUUGUGGGAUGGAGCCGUCUAAGGUGAGGCUCGUGAUUGGGACUAAGUCGUAACAAGGUAGCCGUACCGGAAGGUGCGGCUG
rnacentral:rRNA from 1 species